rnacentral:rRNA from 1 species
UACGUAGGGUGCAAACGUUGCUCGGAAUUAUUGGGGCGUAAAGCGCACGUAGGCGGCUUUUCAAGUCCCAUGUGAAAUCCCACGGCUUAACCGUGGAAGUGCAUGGGAAACUGGAAGCUUGAGUACUUAAGAGGAUCGCGGAAUUCCCGGUGUAGAGGUGAAAUUCGUAGAUAUCGGGAGGAACACCAGUGGCGAAGGCGGCGAUCUGGGAAGAUACUGACGCUGAGGUGCGAAAGCGUGGGGAGCAAACAGG